rnacentral:rRNA from 1 species
GACGAACGCUGGCGGCGUGCCUAAUACAUGCAAGUCGAACGAGAGCAACCGGUGCUUGCACUGGUCAAUCUAGUGGCGAACGGGUGAGUAACACGUGGGUAACCUGCUCAUCAGAGGGGGAUAACAUCCGGAAACGGAUGCUAAAACCGCAUAGGUCUUCGAACCGCAUGGUUUGAAGAGGAAAAGAGGCGCAAGCUUCUGCUGGUGGAUGGACCCGCGGUGCAUUAGCUAGUUGGUGAGGUAACGGCUCACCAAGGCCGUGAUGCAUAGCCGACCUGAGAGGGUGAUCGGCCACAUUGGGACUGAGACACGGCCCAGACUCCUACGGGAGGCAGCAGUAGGGAAUCUUCCGCAAUGGACGCAAGUCUGACGGAGCAACGCCGCGUGAGUGAAGAAGGUUUUCGGAUCGUAAAACUCUGUUGUUAGGGAAGAACAAGUGCUGGAGUAACUGUUAGCGCCUUGACGGUAUCUAACCAGAAAGCCACGGCUAACUACGUG